UCAGGACGAACGCUGGCGGCGUGCCUAAUACAUGCAAGUCGAACGGUCUUUCUAUGGAAGCUUGCUUCCACUGAGAAGAUAGUGGCGAACGGGUGAGUAACACGUGGGUAACCUGCCCAUAAGAGGGGGGAUAACAUCCGGAAACGGGUGCUAAUACCGCAUAGUUUUCUUGAUCGCAUGAUCGGGAAAGGAAAGACGGCCUUUGUGCUGUCGCUUAUGGAUGGACCCGCGGCGUAUUAGUUAGUUGGUGAGGUAACGGCUCACCAAGACGAUGAUACGUAGCCGACCUGAGAGGGUGAUCGGCCACAUUGGGACUGAGACACGGCCCAAACUCCUACGGGAGGCAGCAGUAGGGAAUCUUCCGCAAUGGACGAAAGUCUGACGGAGCAACGCCGCGUGAGUGAAGAAAAGGUUUUCGGAUCGUAAAACUCUGUUGUCAGAGAAGAACAAGUUGGAGAGUAACUGCUCCAGCCUUGACGGUAUCUGACCAGAAAGCCACGGCUAACUACGUGCCAGCCGCUGC
rnacentral:rRNA from 1 species